AGUUGUGACAUUGCUUUAUAAAAAUAAGUUUUGUUGUUUAAUUUAAUAUAUUUCUUGGAGUCCAACACAUCAAGUGUCUUGUGUUUAUCUUCCUUUUAAUUUUUUUUUCUUAGAUUGUUUCCCUAAACCAUUUGGCAUGGUUGAGCUUAAAUAGGCCUUUCAUAAAUUGCCCAGUUAGGAUAAACAUAAGUUGUUUACAGAGCCCACUUCAAGCCCAUUUGGGCAUCCAUGGUUGAAUCCUGGUGCAAGCCCACUUUAAACCCCUUUAGGCAGGUGGGGCCCAAAUGGGUCUGACAUGAAUUACACAGAUAAGACCCUUACAGAUCCCACCUAAAACCCAUCGGGCAUCAUGGCUGGCCCCCAUGUGAAUCCCAAGUGCAAGCCCAUUUAAAACCUUUUUAGGUGGGGUCCAACUGGGUCUUUCAUGAAUUGCCCGGUUAAGACACUCAUAAGAUUCUCAAAGAUCCCACUUAAAACCCAUCUAGGCAUCCACGGCUGGCCACCAUGUAGAUCCCGGGUGGAAACCCACUUAAAACCCCUUUGGGCAGGUGGGGCCCAAAUGGGUUUGGCAUGAAUAGCCCAGUUAGUACCAUUACAGUUCCCACUUUUAGUACGUCUGGGCUUCCCCCGGCUGGCCCCAAUGUGGUUCCCGUGUGCAAGCCCAUAAUGGGGCCCACAUUUGAUGCCCAUGAAGCCCUCAUUUGGGCCCCACAUGUCAUUGCUGGCUGGGACAGAGACAGAGAUCAAGGCUGUCGUCAUAGAGGCCAAGAAGUAGUUGUCCGAAUUCUGUCACAGAGGACGUUUCUGGGAGUUUGGAAAAAAUUGUGACCUAUUAGACUCUACUAAUCCUCUUGCCAAGUUUGUAACUCUGUUAUGCUUCUCUGAUUUGAUAAAUCUGGCUUCAAAUUAAACAUCUGCACAUAUUUAGAUAUAAAUAUAAAUUAUUGCUUGUUGUUUUGACCUUAUUUAUGAUCCUUGUUUUAGGAUGAUUGCGGAGAUGCAGUCAAGGGGGUUGGUGAUUAAUAACUUACCUUCAGUCCUCCCAGAAUCAGCUCGAUCUACUACAUCUUCUGUGCCUCAAAGCUCUGGAGGUGCAGAAAGUCCAUUGUAGCCUCCAAAUGAGCCCUUAUCUGACAAGAGCUCUGGAGAGUACUACCAGAGGUACAGUUUCAAAUCGGCAUUCCCAGAAAUUAAAUGUACACUGUGGAAAUGAUUUCUCUUUAAUAUACAAAGUCAUUUUGCUCACCUGCUUUUCUAUUUCAGCACUGGUGGACCGAUGUUUACCUCUUCCGUGAGGGUGGAAGUGGUCAAAAAAGGCUUAUACAAUAAGCACUCCAUUGACCACUCCCUUCUAACAGGAUUUAAUAAAUACCUUUACACUGAUCUAGGAUAUAAAAACAGCAAACAAGUAGUGGAAACAGUGUCCAGGUUCUUGCAUUACAUGGACCCCACUGAGCCAAACUUGAUGUUUGUUCGGCAGGUGGAGAAAGUGCGAGAGUACUUUAACAUCUUGUCAGAUACAAAGCUCUCAAAAUGGACAGUGUUCAACUACUCGAAGAGUCUCAAGAGGUCAGUAAUGUGGAACCACCACAAGCUUGCCAUGUACAUGUUAACUAAUCAUGUCAGAUGUGAUGUGUUCUGACUGUAACAAACCCAUUUUUGCUCUCUUUUCAAGGUUCAUGAAAUACAUUAUUACCUCCACGGACAUUCACCACAACAAUCCAUCUCUGUUCCAGGACUGUAAGAGUUUUAUGGAUGUGCUGUAUGGGAUACAGAGUGGCAUGUCCAAAAAAGUGAGCAUGAAGGUCACAGCAAAAAAAAUCUGAGUUUGGUUGUGGCAAAGAAAUUUUGCCAAAGGACUGCCUUGCUGUUUUGGUGGCUGCAUUUAAAGAUUUCCAGGCCGUGAUAUGCAAAAUGCAGGGUCCAGGAGCCAUCACAGGGGACUGUUUGACUAAAAAUGAACGGCUUCUUGUCCUAUACUACCUGGAGGCUGUUAUCAUGCUGAAGCUAGUCCAGCGGCCUGGAAUUGUGACACACAUGACUGUUGAGGAUUGGGAGGGGAGAAGCCGGAUAGAGAAUGAUGUCUGUGUUGCAGUGAAGGAACACAAAGUACUGUUCUCACAUGAACAGGAACUUGUAAGUUUAUAUUGUCUUUUAUAUCAUAACAGCAAUAAUUAUGUUGUAUCAAAGUCAGAUUUAUUUUUGACCUUUCUUUAACUAGUGGUUUGACUUGUACUUCAAUGAGGUGCGGCCAGUAAUGCUGCAAGAAAACCGCACCAGCGACAAUGUGGCAGUUGAUUCAUUUUUUGUGUCAAGUAGUGGGAGAUCGAUUUAUAAUCCCUCCAAUGACUUUAAAAGACUACAUGACAAGUAAGCAACAUUACACCUGUCUUUAACUCUACAUGUUCAUACGUCCACUUUUUUGCCUUCUUACGAUGCCUUGUGUUUCAGAUACAGUCUCCCCAGUGUGACGUGUGGUGAUGCCCAAAGAGCAUUUGAGGCAGCAGCACAAAACCUGUCAGAAGUGGAAAGAAAUGUGGUGGCAGCUGAAAGAAUCUACAUGAGGAGAGCAUCUUCAGAUCAAUUUCUGGCUCUAAGUGUGCUAGAUCAGCUUGCUGGGAAAACACCGUAAGCAUCUAACAACUGAGAUGAUCCUUAUUUGUAAAUUUGCAACCCACAGCCUUGCCUUUCAUUCCUUCAAUAUUUAUUUUUUUUGUGAUGAAAUGAACACUGUGUUAAAUGUCAGUACUUCCAUGUCAUACACCUCUUUAACAAUAUCAUACCAUUCACCUACAGAUGGAGGAUCUUCCUUGAGCUAUUUCUUUGUAAUGGCCUUUUUGCUAGUUGUUAGUAGUGUGUUAAGAAGAUACACAUCAUUUUUGGUAUUU